rnacentral:rRNA from 1 species
GACGAACGCUGGCGGCGUGCUUAACACAUGCAAGUCGAACGGAAAGGCCCCUUUGGGGGUACUCGAGUGGCGAACGGGUGAGUAACACGUGAGUAACCUGCCCUUGACUUCGGGAUAACUUCAGGAAACUGGGGCUAAUACCGGAUAGGAAUCCUUGCUGCAUGGUGGGGGUUGGAAAGCUUCGGCGGUUUUGGAUGGACUCGCGGCUUAUCAGCUUGUUGGUGGGGUAGUGGCUUACCAAGGCUUUGACGGGUAGCCGGCCUGAGAGGGCGACCGGCCACAGUGGGACUGAGAGACGGCCCAGACUCCUACGGGAGGCAGCAGUGGGGAAUAUUGCACAAUGGGCGGAAGCCUGAUGCAGCAACGCCGCGGGCGGGAUGACGGCCUUCGGGUUGGAAACCGCUUUCAGCAGGGGCGAAGCUUGUGGUGACGGUACCUGCAGAAGAAGCACCGGCUAACUACGUG